UACGUAGGGGGCAAGCGUUGUCCGGAUUUAUUGGGCGUAAAGAGCGUGUAGGCGGCCAUACAGGUCAGCUGUGAAAACUCGAGGCUCAACCUCGAGACGCCGAUGGAAACCCUCAGACUAGAGUCCGGAAGAGGAGAGUGGAAUUCCUGGUGUAGCGGUGAAAUGCGCAGAUAUCAGGAAGAACACCCGUGGCUAAGGCGGCUCUCUAGUACGGUACUGACGCUGAGACGCGAAAGCGUGGGGAGCGAACAGG
rnacentral:rRNA from 1 species